UCCUACGGGGGGCAGCAGUGGGGAAUAUUGCACAAUGGGGGAAACCCUGAUGCAGCGACGCCGCGUGAGUGAAGAAGUAUUUCGGUACGUAAAGCUCUAUCAGCAGGGAAGAAAAAAAGUCCUUUGGACUUUGGACGGUACCUGACCAAGAAGCCCCGGCUAACUACGUGCCAGCAGCCGCGGUAAUACGUAGGUGGCAAGCGUUAUCCGGAAUGAUUGGGCGUAAAGGGUGCGCAGGCGGAACCAUAAGUCUGAAGUAAAAGCCAUCGGCUCAACCGAUGUAAGCUUUGGAAACUGUGGAUCUG
rnacentral:rRNA from 1 species